rnacentral:rRNA from 1 species
UACGGGGGGAGCAAGCGUUGUUCGGAAUCACUGGGCGUAAAGGGAGUCUAGGCGGUUUGGUAAGUGGGAUGUGAAAUGCCCCGGCUCACCCGGGGACCUGCAUCCCAAACUGCUGAGCUUGAGUACAGGAGAGGGUGGGGGAAUUCCAGGUGUAGCGGUGAAAUGCGUAGAUAUCUGGAGGAACACCGGUGGCGAAGGCGCCCACCUGGCCUGCUACUGACGCCGAAGCUCGAAAGCUAGGGGAGCAAACGGG